rnacentral:rRNA from 1 species
ACGGGUGAGUAACACGUAGGCAACCUGCCCUCAAGCUUGGGACAACUACCGGAAACGGUAGCUAAUACCGAAUACUUGUUUUCUUCGCCUGAAGGGAACUGGAAAGACGGAGCAAUCUGUCACUUGAGGAUGGGCCUGCGGCGCAUUAGCUAGUUGGUGAGGUAACGGCUCACCAAGGCGACGAUGCGUAGCCGACCUGAGAGGGUGAUCGGCCACACUGGGACUGAGACACGGCCCAGACUCCUACGGGAGGCAGCAGUAGGGAAUCUUCCGCAAUGGGCGAAAGCCUGACGGAGCAAUGCCGCGUGAGUGAUGAAGGUUUUCGGAUCGUAAAGCUCUGUUGCCAGGGAAGAACGCUUAGGAGAGUAACUGCUCCUGAGGUGACGGUACCUGAGAAGAAAGCCCCGGCUAACUACGUGCCAGCAGCCGCGGUAAUACGUAGGGGGCAAGCGUUGUCCGGAAUUAUUGGGCGUAAAGCGCGCGCAGGCGGUCAUUUAAGUCUGGUGUUUAAUCCCGGGGCUCAACCCCGGAUCGCACUGGAAACUGGGUGACUUGAGUGCAGAAGAGGAGAGUGGAAU